GUGCUUCCCCAUCAGCACAAAAGCUAAAACUGAAACAAAGCAAGAAAGAUUAACAUGGCCCCUUUGCAAGAAUAAUAUGCAAAUCUAUAAGGUAUUUUCUAUAGUG